AGAGUUUGAUCAUGGCUCAGAUUGAACGCUGGCGGCAUGCCUUACACAUGCAAGUCGAACGGCAGCAUGAUCUAGCUUGCUAGAUUGAUGGCGAGUGGCGAACGGGUGAGUAAUACAUCGGAACGUGCCCUGUAGUGGGGGAUAACUAGUCGAAAGAUUAGCUAAUACCGCAUACGACCUGAGGGUGAAAGUGGGGGACCGCAAGGCCUCAUGCUAUAGGAGCGGCCGAUGUCUGAUUAGCUAGUUGGUGAGGUAAAGGCUCACC
rnacentral:rRNA from 1 species